rnacentral:rRNA from 1 species
UUCCGGUUGAUCCUGCCGGAGGCUACCGCUAUUGGAGUUCGAUUAAGCCAUGCGAGUCGCGAGAAAUUAGAUUCUCGGCGUACCGCUCAGUAACACGUGGGUAACCUGCCCUAUGCUGGAUAAUAACCUCGGGAAACUGAGAAUAAUGAUCCAUAGUUCACUACGCCUGGAACGGUGAGUGGAUGAAAGCCCCGGCGGCAUAGGAUGGGCCUGCGGCGUAUCAGGUUGUAGGGGGUGUAACGUACCCUCUAGCCCUCUACGCGUACGGGUGUUGGGAGACAUAGCCCGGAGAUGGAUUCUGAGACACGAAUCCAGACCCUACGGGGUGCAGCAGGCGCGAAAACUUGGCAAUGCGAGAAAUCGUGACCAGGGAACUCCAAGUGCAUCGGGUAAGACCGAUGCUUUUCUUGACUCUAAAUAGGUCUUGGAAUAAGGGGUGGGUAAGGACGGUGCCAGCCGCCGCGGUAAUACCGGCGCCUCAAGUGGUAGUCGCUUUUAUUGGGCCUAAAACGUCCGUAGCCGGUCUGAUACAUUCGUGGGUAAAUCAACCAGCUCAACUGGUUGAAUUCUGCGAGGACGGUCAGACUUGGGACCGGGAGAGGUGUGGGGUACGCUCAGGGUAGGGGUGAAAUCCUGUCAUCCUGAGCGGACCACCUGUUGCGAAGGCGCCACACUAGAACGGAUCCGACGGUCAGGGACGAAGCCUAGGGGCACGAACCGGAUUAGAUACCCGGGUAGUCCUAGGUGUAACCGCUGUGGACUUGAUGUUGGGGGUGCUCCGAGCACUCUCAGUGUCGAAGCGAAGGUGAUAAGUCCACUGCCUGGGAAGUACGGUCGCAAGGCUGAAACUUAAAGGAAUUGGCGGGGGAGCACCGCAACCUGAGGAUUGUGCGGUUUAAUUGGAUCAACGCCGAA